UACGUAGGGGGCAAGCGUUGUCCGGAAUUAUUGGGCGUAAAGCGCGCGCAGGCGGUCAUGUAAGUCUGGUGUUUAAUCCCGGGGCUCAACCCCGGUACGCACUGGAAACUGUGUGGCUUGAGUGCAGGAGAGGAGAGCGGAAUUCCACGUGUAGCGGUGAAAUGCGUAGAGAUGUGGAGGAACACCAGUGGCGAAGGCGGCUCUCUGGCCUGUAACUGACGCUGAGGCGCGAAAGCGUGGGUAGCAAACAGG
rnacentral:rRNA from 1 species